rnacentral:misc_RNA from 1 species
UUGAAGUUUUAUAACAUAUUGUUUGAAUAAAAACCCAUUGGUGGAGGAACAAGACUCAACGAGUUGGUGGUUUGUCAAAAAAAAAUAAGUAAAAUUUGACCGAAAAUUCACUUCCGAAUCCGGUGCGACUUAUAUUAUGCUAAUUAUAUUCUGAAUUAUACUAUCAGAAGCGGACAUAAAUAUUACCAGUAAUUACCCACAUAAACCGUCGACAACCGACAUUUAACGACAAUGAGUGGCUGGUCGGUUUAGCGGUUUGUCCUUCGUGGAUCUAUGAAAGUAUAAUUAUUCGCCAAUGUAAGCGAAAACCCAAGGACGUUGAUGAGAGAUCACAUAAGAAACCUGAUGGAAUCCAGAGAAUUUGAUCUAGAUUUCCCAUGCCUUUUUGAUUCGAGUAAUAUAAAAUGUUUGUUUGGAAUACUAGACGCGUCUUGUGGUGGUCAUAUUAUACCUGAACAAUUCAGAUCAGCGUUAGAGGUUGUCGGCGCCAGCAUCAUCCAGGAAGAUGACGUUCCAGAUCUAUUAGACAACGAUGGCAUUCCUUUCGACGUUUUCCUCACCAAAAUGAGAGAAGGGAUAUCGAAUUCAUCGGCUACGUUUGCACCUGAUUUUUGAGGUCAGUAUAGAAACCAGAUGCUAGCUACAUGAAGGCGAAUAUUUUGUUUGUUUUAAUUUUUCUUCCAAACGAACGGAAAUAGAAGUAUUUUAACCGUCACUCAGUGUAAUAAAAUACAAUUAACGGGUAACUCUCAGUUUUGAGUUGGUUGAAAUAUAGGUCACUCUAGCUGCAAAGCUUCCAAUUAGUAGACAAAAUGUGCGGCUUUGGUCAAGCAUUUUUUAGGUUAUGGCGAUGUUUUUUAACCCAAAGUAGUAGACUCGGUCAAGCCUCGUGAGUUUUUCGCAAACAGCUGCUGCAUA